rnacentral:rRNA from 1 species
UACGGGGGGAGCAAGCGUUGUUCGGAUUUACUGGGCGUAAAGGGCGCGUAGGCGGUCACUACAAGUCAGUUGUGAAAUCUCUGGGCUUAACUCAGAACGGUCAACUGAUACUGUCGGACUAGAGUGCAGAAGGGGCAACUGGAAUUCUCGGUGUAGCGGUGAAAUGCGUAGAUAUCAGGAGGAACACCGGUGGCGAAGGCGGGUCUCUGGGCCGAUACUGACGCUGAGGAGCGAAAGCGUGGGGAGCGAACAGG